GGGGGGUCCUGAGAGGGGGUUGGGCAGAGUCGUAGGCCGUCCGCUCCUCAGGCUGCUGUCAGGACCCUUCUGCCCCGAUUUUCUGGCAUCCCAGGCAAGGGGUGGAGGAUGAAAAUGUAGGGGGGAGAUCGGACCAAGGGCCUCAUCCUACUCAGCCCCUAAGAUUUUCCUGUUCUCCAAGAAAAGGGAAGAAUAAGAAAUCUACAGGACUGAGCAGAAUUUCACCUCUCGAGGCUGCAACUGCUUCUUCUCACAGAACUUCCUUAUUAAAUGGGGAACGAGCACAUGUGAAAGGCACAUUCACAUCUAGUUGACUCUUUCUCUAUGAUGAAAAUAGAGAAAUUGAAAAAAAUAUUUUAAAACUGACAUCUUUGAAGUAAACUGGGAACGACUGUUCAAAAUGCUGUGUGCCAAGAAUAAGUGCGGGGAGAUUUCCACACCUGGGAAAUUUGUUUUCAGCUUUCCAACCACCCUGGAAUAGGUCAAGAUGGUGCAGGCCGAUCAUCAUGUGAGGCACGGAGAAGUUGAAGGCGAUUUCACCCUUCAGUGCGGACUAAGCAGCCAGCAUGUCCCUGUUCCGUGGUGUGGAUCGCUCGCCAAGAAAAACAUGGGGCUGUAUGCCUAGGCAAUAUUGAAUAACCCUGCUUGGAUCCAAAAAGACGGUGCAAAGGAUAUUAACUUCUCAAAACUCGGAGUCAUUUCCAAGGAUAGCCAAAAGAAAGAACCAACAGUCUGCUAAUUCCAAGCCAGCAGAAAGCCAAGUCCAGUUUUGCAAACAAGAAGGCAAUAACUAUUGUUGGGAGAGAAAGAAUAAAUAAUGGGUCUGGAUUUGCAAAGGGAGGGAUGUGACAUUUUAUUUUCCUCUCUGGACUGGGUGCUCCAGACAGAAAUUCAGAAGAAUUGAUUCUGGUAAGCAUUUUUACCUUUGGCUGGCCUUUGCCAGUUUUUCUAGGAUCCCCUCUGAAAGAUCUGGUAUCUACCAGCAUUUUCCCUUGGCUGUUUAAAGGAAUAAUAUAGCAGUUUACCAGGAAAUCCUUCAGUUUGGACAACACUAGAAGGGGUUCAAAUGAGGCGUCCCUUGAAGGUAGAUAUGGGGGUGUCUGUAAAGCCAUGAACUUGGCAGAUUUUUGUUUAUGGUUGUGUAGUCUUUUCAGAGUGGAAAAACAAAUCAGACAAUGAAUACUUGAAGGAAGGAAGAGGGGAGCAGUCUUUUCCCUUAUGUGCCUUUUAUAUCUUUACUUUUUCUUUAGCCUUUUGCAAUGAAUCUUUCAAUAAAACUGCUUUGGAAUUUUGAA